GAUGAACGCUAGCGGCAGGCCUAAUACAUGCAGGUCGAACGAGAUUGUUGUAGCAAUAUGACAUGAAAGUGGCGCACGGGUGCGUAACACGUAUGCAAUCUACCUUUGAUAGGGGAAUAGCUUCGAGAAAUCGGAAUUAAUGCCCCAUAACAUGUUUGAGUGGCAUCACUCGAUUAUCAAACCUCCGGGGAUCAAAGAUGAGCAUGCGCAACAUUAGCUAGUUGGUGAGGUAAUGGCUCACCAAGGCUACGAUGUUUAGGGGGUCUGAGAGGAUGAUACCCCAAACUGGUACUGAGACACGGACCAGACUCCUACGGGAGGCAGCAGUAGGGAAUAUUGGUCAAUGGAGGCAACUCUGAACCAGCCAUGCCGCGUGCAGGAUGACGGCCCUCUGGGUUGUAAACUGCUUUUAUACGGGAAGAAAAAGAGCUACGUGUAGCUUAUUGACGGUACCGUAAGAAUAAGGAUCGGCUAACUCCGUGCCAGCCGCCGCAGUAACAC
rnacentral:rRNA from 1 species